AUAAUCAAAUAUGAGGGUCACAUACAUCCUUUCAUUCUGACUGCAUACCUCGAUGAAGUUGCUAGUGUUGAAGAAUACUAUUAUGAUGUCUGUGAAAUGGAAAGAGAUUAGGGAUGUCAAAAUGACCCGGUGGAGCGGGGCGGGUCGGAGCUCCGAUCCGACGGGGCGAUUCUGAUCCGAAUUAAGCGGGUCGAAAAGCGGGGCGGGGCGCUGCCUCGAUCCGAUCCGGUACUAAUUAUUGUGGGGCGGGUCGUGACCUCUUCUUCAUCUUCUUCAGCUGAACUCCAUCUUCAUCUUCUUCAGCCGAACUCCAUCCAUUCUCCUUCUCUGUCUCGCAGUUCUCUUCUCUCACUUGGGUUCUCUCUCUGGAUCUGGGUUCUCUCUCGUGGGCUUUGGAUAAUCAAAGGAUUUUCUUCUUCACACUCAUCACUCUCAAAGUAGCUCCCGUUGGUGGCCUUCUCCGUGCUAAGGUUAAAUCAAACUAUAAGUAUGUCUACCCAAGAUGUUACUGAGUCUAAUUGUGUGGAUGAUGUUGAUUUUGUUCCUUCAACAAAUAUACAAGAAGUGCAAUCUCUUGAUAAUAGAAGUGAUGGAAAUGAGAGUAGGGGUAUAAAAAGAAAGAAAACAUCUCCUGCAUGGGAUCAUUUUACAUUGCAAAAGAUUGAUGGUAAAAUAAAAGCAGCUUGCAAUCACUGUGGGAGGAAAUUAGUGGGAGAGAGUAGUAAGAGGACUAAACACUUACUUCUUCACAUGGAAAGAUGUCCAGUAAGACAGAAACAACUUGCCAAGAUUUCUACUGCAAGCCCCUCAGUUACCUUCAAUCUUGAUCCUAAACUAGGAAGAAAAAAGUUGGCUGAAAUGAUCAUUCUACAUGAGUACCCUUUGUUGAUGGUAGAGCAUAGUGGUUUUUAUAGACUAUUCGAAUACUAUUUCACCUAUGUUUCAAAUGGUGUCAAGGAAUACAAUUAGGUCUGACAUUUUGAAAAUAUAUAAGAUUGAGAAGGAAAAAUUUCGAGAAAAUAAAAGUAGAAUUGCAUUAACCACUGAUAUGUGGACUGCCAAUCCUCAAAAGAGGGGAUAUAUGGCUGUGACAGAUCAUUUUAUUGAUGACUCUUAGAAGUUACAUAGUCAGAUUAUAAGCUUUAGAUAUAUGCCAUGCCCACAUGAUGCUCCAACACUUACAGAAACUCUAAGUUCUUGCAUGUCUGAAUGGAAUAUUGAACACAAGAUUAGUACAGUGACUGUGGAUAAUUGUACUACGAACGAUGCAAUGAUUCCACUUUUGAAGGAACAAUUUGAUCCUAAGUGUUUACUUUUAAAUGGAAAGCUACUUCAUAUGCGUUGUUGUGCACAUAUUUUGAAUCUAAUUGUUAGGGAUGGCUUGUCUGUUAUUGGUGACAGCAUUGACAAGAUUCGAGAUAGUGUUGCUUAUUGGUCGGGCACACCAAAGAGGUAUGAAAAAUUUGAGGACACUGCUCGUCUUCUCGGAGUGACAUGUACUAAAAAACUAUCACUUGAUUGUGUGACAAGGUGGAAUUCAACGUACUUGAUGCUCAAAACAGCUUUAUUGUACAAGAAAGUGUUUGAACGAUCAAAGCUACGUGAUCCAAAGUAUAAAUGUCUACCAUCAGAAAAUGAUUGGAUUAGAGCUCAGAAAUUAUGUGUCUAGUUGGAAGUGUUUUGUGAGGUGACAGAGUUAUUUUCUGGAACUAAGUAUCCUACUGCUAAUCUUUUUUUCCCAAUGAUAUGUAAAAUUAAGAUGAAAAUUGAAGCAUGGAUGACAUCAGAUGAGUUGUUUAUUAAGAAUAUGGCAACUCAAAUGAUGUCUAAGUUUCAAAAGUAUUGGAAAGAGAUUCAUUGACUUAUGACUGUUGCAAUUGUUUUGGAUCCAAGGUACAAAUUUAUGUUGAUCGAAUAUUUUUUUCCUAAGCUUUAUGGAAAUGAUCUAUAUGAGAUUGAAAUUGAGAAGGCCCGCAAGCUUUGUUAUGAUCUAUUGGAUGAGUAUAAGUCUAAAUGUCCUGAUUUGAGCGAAAGAAGUCAUCAAUUGGAUAAUGCAUCAGCAUCUUUUUCAACACAGGAUGAUCUAUCUAACUAUGAUACAUAUGUUAUAGUUGCAUCUGGUGCAGAGAAUGCGAAGUCAGAGUUAGAUGCCUAUUUGGAUGAGAAAGUGUUACCUAGGACUGAUGAAUUCUUUGAUAUAUGCAAUUAUUGUAAGGUAACAAGAUUUAAAUAUCCCAUGUUGAGCAAGAUUGCCAGAGACAUAUUUGCUGCGCCUAUUAGCACUGUUGCUUCAGAGUCUGCAUUUAGCACCGGUGGUAGACAUGUGGGUUCACCUCGAUCGAGACUUCAUCCAACUACAUUGGAGGCAUUGGUCUGUACUCAAAGUUGAUUGGUGAAAAACAAACAAUGAGCGACUAAACUAGUCACCAUAAAUGAUGAAGAUAAUGACGUAGAUCCAACUAUGGACCCAUACAUUAUAGAUUUUGAAGAUUAGGACGGUUUAUGAAAGUUUUAUAAUUGAUUUAAUGUAGUUGAUAUACUUCAUUAUUAGUAUAUGUUGGUGAAUUCUUAAUAUAAUUAAU